UUCUAAAUUACUUUCUUGGCUUAAUUAGAUUACAAAAAUAUAUAUAUAAUCGACUGGUGAUUUCCUUGGUACUUUUCAUUGAAGAAGUCUGUUGGCUCUGUCAGUGGCAGUGUGUGUUGUAUGGGAUGUGCUGCCCACUGGCAGAAUAAAACCUGUAGGAUGUGGUCCAGGCAAGAGCCUUUUCCAGAAGUGCUCUUGUGUAAUUAGAGCAUGUUAUUAUUUAGAACACCAUCUAUUUAAGUUAUCUGCUCUCCAGCUGAAUACAAAGUCUUGUUUAAAUCAAAGCAAACGCAUACUGAGCAGGUAGAAAACCAGGAGGACAUAAAGCAUGCCAGUGUAGGAGGCAGAGUGCUGGACAGUGUUGUCCAGCCUAGCAGCAGGAAUUGGCAUUCCUUGGAAGCAGGAACUCGAGUGACAAGCAGGAACUUGUGUCAUCUGCUGUUGCUUACAAUCAGGAUUCAUAGGAUCAGAACAGACUGCAAACCUUGGUAGGCUAGUGAGGAAAGAAACAACAAGAGCUGUUUGUCUCUAAAUGUCGCUUUCUGAAUCGGGUCCCUGCCCCCAGGUGUGCUGAGGCUGGAGGCAGAGCAGUCAGCCCGAACCUGGGUCUUUGUUCUGGGGGAUCUGGCCUGAAACAGAAGCAGCAUUUAUUACCUGGCUGAUGUGUAACUCGCCCCUCCCAUAAUAACUGAAAUAGCGCAGUAAUCGGCACUGAUUUGGGUGGGUUUGUUUUGUUUUUUGUUUAGAAUGCUGACCUGUUGAGAAGUGUUUGUAACAGAUUGUUGUUCUGCUGGAUUUCUCAGUGGUCUUAAGGGAAAAAAACAGUUUCUUGCCCCUGUCUGCAGGGAGAAUGGCUGCAUGCCACAAGAUGGCAUCCGUGCUACACGAGCUCCUAGUCUGUUACUGGAACUGCUUUGAAAGUUGAGAGAGACACAGCUUUUUCCCAGAGAGAGAACUAGAGUAAGAUUUACGAGGAUGGGGAAGGCUUAAAUUGUGAGCAAUUGCUGUGAGCUUCUCUGGCAUGCAGAGAUAUGCAUGAAUGUCCAAGUUCUUACUGUGAUUGCACAUCUGAGUUAAUCAUUGAAAGACAUGCUUACGUUAGGUAUAAAACUGUAGAAUAUAAAAUGCGUGCACGUGAGUAUGCGUGAUAUGUCACAGGGUAAGCACUAGCAAUUCACUUUGUUCCAUUUGAAUUCAUAGUUAUUUAUGAUACAAAGCUUACCCCAUUCAUGUUUAACUUUUGCACUAAAAGCUUUACUUGAUACAAGUCAAAUGUCAGCAAACUUUGGAAAUGAAAAUGCCCUUUUGUGCCUUUUACAUUACCUGCAUCUUUAUGGAUCUUGAGCCUGAUGGAGAAUCCUCACAGGAUUAUCCAGGGGACUCCGCUGACACAGGGAAGGCAAAGGCAUGUUGUCUGCAGGGCAGGUCAAUGCAGAUUUGACCUGGAUGUAGCUGUCUUCUAGGGUAAGAAUAGUGGGGCUUUUUCUUAUUUCUAAUUCCUUAUGAUCUUCCUGUUUUUCCCCGUGUAUCUUGGAGAAAAGUAGCACAAUCAGUAUUUGGCUUAUGUAUAUGCCUGCUACCCAGAAACAUAUAUGAUUGAAGAAUAGCAGCGAAUUGUGUUAUCCCAUUUCUUGGGUGCUUUGAGCGGCAAGAUAUUCAGCUGGAUGGCAGAUAAAGAAGAGAGGUGGUACGAAUACGAGUUUUGCUUGCUUGCAUACUUAAGCGGAUAUAUCUUUCUGGAUUAUCUUUACUCCAUUUUGCCAGUGGUCAAAGCACGUUGCCAGGGGAAUGGCUUAGAAACCUGGAAUCUUUCUUCAGCGCUAUUUAAAAUCUUGCAAUUGGUCUCAGUCAUUCAGCUGGAGAGGACAGGAGCCUCUCAACCCCAUGUCUUUUUUAUUUUUCUAUUGCAGAUGCUUUUAGGAAAGCAUGCAUAAUAUGUGUUACUCUCACCAGUUUUGAAGAUGGAAUAAUGUAAAACUAGUAAUAUUUGACUAUUUAGGAAUAUGGCAAUGAGUGAAAAUUCCGAUACUAGUAAAAGCAUAGCAUGUGAUUCUUAACAUGUCUUUUUUCAUGAGUUGUUUGAUAUCCUAUUAUUCUUACUGACAUAACUUUGGGACAG